GCAAAGUGGCAAUUUCAUGUAUAAAUACCCCAGAGCUCACAUAAAGAUGGCAAAGUGGCAAGUUCAUGUAUAAAAACCCCAGAGCUCACAUAAAGAUGGCGAAGUGCCAAGUUCAUGUAUAAAUACCCCAGAGCUCAAACAAAGAUGGCACAGCAGCAAGUACAUCAGCUGUGCCACCCCCAGAUAUCAUAACAGAAUGGCACAGAUUUAAUGCCUGCACUGCUCUCUGGCUUUAACUAGAAAGUGGACCAGUAGCCAGCACAAUCAUCCAGGGACAACUUAACAGAGGCACUGACUGACCAUGUGGGUGGGAAGGUGGUGAGAAGGCUGCAGACUGCAGUGCUAAUGUGAUAGCAGCAGCUCCUCCCUUGCUUCCUUUUCUCCCGAGGCUGAAAUCCGUUUGAGUGCUGCUGGCCAAUCAAAUGCUCCACAGCUGCUGGUAGCGCUCUCUCCUUCUCCUUGUCACAGCCGAAGUAAUUUGAUCCUGCAGCAAAGACUGCGGGCUGGACACCCCUGAAUAGUGCAUCUCCUCUACUGUGAGCCGGUAUCUCUCCUCAAAAGUUACGGUAGGAAGCGUUGGAUCAGGGCAGUCUUGCCGACCCCACAGAUGCGGGGCCCCAUCAGGGGUGCAGGGGCCACGGAGGAGCUCCUGAAGCACAGCCUGUUUUGCAGCCUUUUGCGUACUGACUCGAGUAUAAGCCGAGGUAGAGUUUUUCAGCAAAUUUUGAGUGCUGAAAAACUCGGCUUAUAUUCAAGUAUAUACGGUACUUUCCCAGUAUAAACUGAAACGAGGGGGUGGGAUUUUUCUCCUCUUUCUCCCGCAGGAAAUGGUCACAGCACUGACUUACAGGCUGAACUAUGCAUUAGCAGAGAAACCCCCUCCCAUGUUCCUGCAUGUGUCUCUGUCUGUUCCCAGCCUGAACAUUGCUGUCUUAUGCUGGUGAUUACUUACAAAGGAAUAAACUUUUCCUUUUUUUUUUAACCAUUUCAUCCAAAACAGCUUUAUUUUCCUUAUUAAAUCACAAUAUAUUGAAUAGAUUGUAAUGUUAUGUUUAUAUGGAUUCAAUUUUUAAAUCAGACACAGCAUGAGGGCUAACUCCAGAUACAUAUUUUUUCAACAGAAAUCCCACAUUUGAAUAUUUGUCCCGCUAGAUGUCAGCAAGCAUAUUUUAACAGCUGCCAUCCAAUAGUUAAUGCUCGCUCUCCUUAUAAUUUUCAUAUGCUACGUAUUAGGUGAUGUUCCUCCUGCUGUCUGCAAAAGACUGCACUUUCUAAUGUUUCUGAAUUAUUAUUUAUUGCUGAUGUGUGGCAAGACCACCUCCACAGAUGUUCACACGAGAUGUGCCUCUUGAUGUGCCUCUUGCUGUCAGCGACAAAAUUAAAGAGCACCUGAAAUAGUUUCCCCUCACCAGAGGUGCAUGCUAAUAGAGCCCGUACUUUGGUUGGGGGGGGGGGAAUUUUUUUUUUUUAACGCCCCUACCAGCGCUAGGCCACCCACGCCAGGUGCAGGCAGCAAUGUUGGGGCACACAAGUGCACACAAUAAGCGAGCACAGCAACCCAUUCAUUAUGCUUAUGAGCGUGACAUCAGGUUGUAAGGCACCUAUGUCAGAAGCUCAUUAUGUGCAUGCAUGCUACAAAACAAAAUGUCUAUCCCUUGUAAGCAGACGUAGUUAUUUGCAGUCAGCAGACCCUCCCCCACCCCCCAGAUAUCAGCAAUUGGAGAAAAGAUUUACCAAAUCUCAGGUUAGUGUAUUUAUAUAAAUUAAUGUAUAAAUAAAUGUAUUUUUUUAGACAUUGCGAAUAAGAAUCAGAGUCAGAAAGUAUUUAUUCUGAAUCAAUAUCCAUUCACAGACAUAUUGAAACAAGUCUUCAUGUUUCUUGAAAGCAUCGACCCGACCAGGGAAACAAAGCUGGACUGCAGACAAAAGAGGCAGGUCCGAAGUCAGGGCCAAAAUCAUCUAACUUGAUUAAGGAUUGCAUGCAGCUAUCUUAUUUACACAAGUCAGAACAGAGUUUCCUCAUCAUUUUCCUAAGGAAGAUGUGUUACACCAGGAUCAGAUAAUGAGUGUUUGUAUUGAUGAGCACAUUAAUGUACACCCAUUGGCAUCUAAACCCAGGUCCAAAUUUCCAUCUCAGCAUGUUUUAAGGAGCUUCUAUACCCCAAAGGUCCCCAUAGAUGCAAAGAUCUUUCAUGGUGAACGAUGAA